UGGGGAAUAACUUCGGGAAACCGAGGCUAAUACCGCAUAAUACCCACGGGUCAAAGGAGCAAUUCGCUUGAGGAGGAGGUCGCGGCCCGAUUAGUUAGUUGGCGGGGUAAUGGCCCCGACCAAGACGGUGAUCGGUAUCCGGCCUGAGACGGGCGCACGGACGACACUGGAACUGAAACACGGUCCAGACUCCUACGGGGAGGCAGCAGUGGGGAAUUUUGCGCAAUGGGGGAAACCCUGACGCAGCAACGACCGCGUGGAGGAUGAAGUCUCUUGGGACGUAAACUCCUUUCGAUCGGGACGAUUAUGACGGUACCGGAAGAAGAAGCCCCGGCUAACUUCGUG
rnacentral:rRNA from 1 species